rfam:Schistosoma rodhaini strain Burundi genome assembly, scaffold: SROB_scaffold0001357
GCACUGAUGAGGAGUCCCACAAUAGGACGAAACGGCCGUUCAGUGC